UACGAAGGGGGCUAGCGUUGCUCGGAAUCACUGGGCGUAAAGCGCACGUAGGCGGAUUGCUAAGUCAGGGGUGAAAUCCUGGAGCUCAACUCCAGAACUGCCUUUGAUACUGGCGAUCUUGAGUCCGGGAGAGGUGAGUGGAACUGCGAGUGUAGAGGUGAAAUUCGUAGAUAUUCGCAAGAACACCAGUGGCGAAGGCGGCGCACUGGCCCGGUACUGACGCUGAGGUGCGAAAGCGUGGGGAGCAAACAGG
rnacentral:rRNA from 1 species